AAACACAAGCCACCUUAAGAAAGACAACACUACACACCCUUCUACCCUAAUAUGAUUCCUCCACAGCCUCCUCUCUGGGGUUAUUUCCUCGGUAAUCUGAAGCUAUGUCAUAUCCUGUCUUGUCACCUCUCCCCAAUACUUCUUCGUCCUACCUUUGCCUCUCCUCGUACCCUCUAUAACCAACCUCUAUAGCACCUUCUCACUGGUGCGUCUAUGGAAUCAUUUUUUUCUAUUUGGUAUAGUUUUAUGUGCUUCAAGCUUAAGAGGAAUUUAAGCUUUUAGUGUGGAUGCAAAAAUAGUGAAGGUGGGGAAAUGAUAGGAUAAUCAAAUGGGAACGUUUACCUUAUCUGAAAAAAUAAAGGGGAAAACGAUAGGG
rnacentral:misc_RNA from 1 species